GAGGGAACUUGGAACUUCUGCCCUUCCCGGAGAGGUUCCAUCUCUUAAGGAGAAAUCUUAAGAGUGCUGCUCACACAUCAAGUCUCCUAUUCAUAUGCAACCAGGACAGACCCUGCUUAGCUACAGGGAGAAGUCACGCUUGCUACCACAAGACCAGCUCUCCUGCACAACUAGCUUGAAGGCUACCGCUCAGGAUGAUGGGAAUACUCCUGGGGCAGAACACCAGGAUCUAAGAAGACUCUGCUCAAUUAGAUAUAGCAGCGAAACAUCAUGCAGCAUCCAUCCACAAAUAAUAGAACUAUACAACGGAGACCAUGUGAGCCACUGACCGCAGAUGCGGGUAACUCAGCUCCCCAGUAUAAAGGUUUCCUGGCCGCUAUGAGGACUUCCUGCAGUGCUGGUGGGGAGUCUGUAUCCUCCAUGCUGCAAGGCAUAGGCUGUUCACAUCCAGAUGGAGGUCCUUUCCCAAAGCCCAAGAGAACUGUAGGCUUGCGUGUGGUACGACAUGAGUCAUGGAGGCCAUAUAAACCGAGAAGCUGCUUGAUUGUUUCGGCUGUGUGCUGUCUUCUCACUGCUACCUACCUGGCUAAGUAGGCGAGCGUCCCGAUUCUUCUCUGAGGAUGAGAUCUUACAUGCAGAAGAUUCCAAGUUCCCUCCCGGGCAUUUCCAAGAUAGGGCUAAGAGAGACUCCUUCCUGCAACCUUGGAAAAACUGCUUCCAGUCUGUGUAGACAAUACUGAGCUAGAUGGACCAAUGGCCUGACUUGCUAUAUGGCAGUUGCCUAUGUUCCUAUGUUCCAAACUGCCUUUGCUUCGGAGCUGAAGGCUCUGAGAAUGGUGUCUAUCCCAUUCUCAGUGGUGCUCAUCAUAAAGAUCCACCCUGGAGUGGUGAUAUGUCAAAUUAGAGUGUGGGUAAUGAGCAUCUCUUGGCUGGAAGUGA